AGCUCCAAUAGCGUAUAUUAAAGUUGUUGCAGUUAGAACGCUCGUAGUCGGAUUUCGGGGCGGGCCGACCGGUCUGCCGAUGGGUACGCACUGGUCGGCGCGUCCUUCCUUCCGGAGACCGUGCCUACUCUUAACUGAGCGGGGGCGGGAGACGGAACGUUUACUUUGAAAAAAUCAGAGUGUUUCAAGCAGGCAGCUCGCUCUUGCAUGGAUUAGCAUGGGAUAAUGAAAUAGGACUUUGGUGCUAUUUUGUUGGUUUCGAACACCGAAGUAAUGAUGAGAAGGGACAGUCAGGGGCACUCGUAUUCCGCCGAGAGAGGUGAAAUUCUCAGACCAGCGGAAGACGAACCACUGCGAAAGCAUUUGCCAGGGAUGUUUUCACUA
rnacentral:rRNA from 2 species